CGACAACUUUUUCAAAUAUUGACCAAUGGACUACUGCGAAUUUCCCGAGUGGUCAGCUCAUCGCCCAUUUCAAGAACGUGCUUCAGUUCUUCAAGUUCUUGAAUGCCACACUUCCUCGUCUCGUAGAUUCCGGAGGAGCAAAACUCAUCGGAGUAGACGGUCGCGAUGGUUGAUGAUCGGCUUCACUUAGAUGUCCCCGAUUAAAGGAGCCCAUUGAGCUGUGCGAACUCGAUCUACUGUUGAAGGCUGCUUGUCUUACUGCUGGAGGGAAGUAAUGAAUAGGAGAAGGAGGGACAGUUGAAGAAGCAAUUCCACUUUCAUGAUCAGAGGACGCUUCGUCAUUCUCUGGUGUGUUCUUCAUUCUCUUAUGCCGUUGAAUGCCGUGUGAACUUAAUAUUCCAACUUGUACAAUUGUUUUUCAGUAAUAAUAUAGGGGCACAGACAAACUCGAACUAACCGAUUUUUAGCAAUGUGUUCGGCAGGCAGGUUCUUGUACGACUGAAAACAUAGAACUCCGGAUCCAGUAGUUUAUUCAGCCGAUAAUUGCACUUCCGUACAAUUAGUAAGGCACCAGCACAAAAAGCGUGGGUGGUGUGGAAUGCAGUGAUAGUCGUAUGCAAUUGUAGAGUAAGGCCAAUUGAUUGCUUUUUUGACCAUGAUGAAUUUUGUUUCCCUUUACUUGUCCUACUUUGGGUUUUCUCUAUUGAUGUGUUGCCAAUUAAAAUAUCAUCAAGUGUUGUUCAUGCAUGAAUGACAGUUCCGGUCUCAAAUUCAUCCGGUUUCCAAGGUUAUAUAUUCUUAUCGUGAUGGCUGGAUUUAGGCUGUUAAAUACUACAUUGAAGUGUGGCUCACGAGGAGUAAACAAUCAACACUGCCCAUAAUUUAUAGACGUUACGUCUUGUUUUCGAAAUCAAGGAAACAAUACGCAAUGCAAUUUUUAGCUGGAGGGAUUCCGUGAGUAGCCUUUAGUUGCUUGUCUGGGAAAUGGGAAUGACAAGGCAAUAUUGCAUGGCAAAUCUGGUUCACCUUGACCCACACUACCGUACAUAGAAACUAUCAUCAUAUAAGUGUACACACUUCUUGAAAUAAAACUAUAAAUCUCUGCACAUUGUUUAUGCGCGUUACACCGCUAUCGUCUUUUCGUGCUGCAAAAUUGUUGGAAUGAUAAGAACUCAUUCAUUUUCUGUAAUUCUCAUCCUUUGAAUAAUGAUUUGAUGAAAUACGACCUUGAAUUUAGCGUUU